GGUUUGAUGCCACGUUUCCGGUAGCCGGAUAAAGACAAUGACCGGAAAUGCUAUGAUCAGACCGAAAUUAAUUUUUUUUUGAAUAUUUCGCAUUUUGAUAGGAAUCUGUGGAUUGAUUUUUGUUUUAUUCAUCCACGGAGCCGUUUUGUGCGAUUACAUUU